rnacentral:rRNA from 1 species
CCUACGGGGUGCUGCAGUAGGGAAUCUUCCACAAUGGGCGAAAGCCUGAUGGAGCAACGCCGCGUGGGUGAAGAAGGUCUUCGGAUCGUAAAACUCUGUUGUUAGAGAAGUAAGUGCGUGAGAGUAACUGUUCACGUUUCGACGGUAUCUAACCAGAAAGCCACGGCUAACUACGUGCCAGCAGCCGCGGUAAUACGUAGGUGGCAAGCGUUAUCCGGAUUUAUUGGGCGUAAAGGGAACGCAGGCGGUCUUUUAAGUCUGAUGUGAAAGCCUUCGGCUUAACCGGAGUAGUGCAUUGGAAACUGGGAGACUUGAGUGCAGAAGAGGAGAGUGGAACUCCAUGUGUAGCGGUGAAAUGCGUAGAUAUAUGGAAGAACACCAGUGGCGAAAGCGGCUCUCUGGUCUGUAACUGACGCUGAGGUUCGAAAGCGUGGGUAGCAAACAGGAUUAGAUACCCCAGUAGUC